rnacentral:rRNA from 1 species
GUGGGGAAUCUUAGACAAUGGGCGCAAGCCUGAUCUAGCCAUGCCGCGUGAGUGAUGAAGGCCCUAGGGUUGUAAAGCUCUUUCAGCUGGGUAGAUAAUGACGGUACCAGCAGAAGAAGCCCCGGCUAACUCCGUGCCAGCAGCCGCGGUAAUACGGAGGGGGCUAGCGUUGUUCGGAAUUACUGGGUGUAAAGCGCGCGUAGGCGGACUGAAAAGUUGGGGGUGAAAUCCCGGGGCUCAACCUCGGAACUGCCUUCAAAACUAUCAGUCUGGAGUUCGAGAGAGGUGAGUGGAAUUCCGAGUGUAGAGGUGAAAUUCGUAGGUAUUCGGAGGAACACCAGUGGCGAAGGCGGCUCACUGGCUCGAUACUGACGCUGGGGUGCGAAAGCGUGGUGAGGAAACAGGAUUAGAAACCCGAGUAGUCC